UUUUCUUUGCCAAGAUUAUUACAAGAAAUAGAUUUAGCAGUUAAUGCCAGCCGUCUGACGGCUACUCCUAUAAUGGAAGCAUGUCUGAAAAGUUUCCUGUGUGCCCCGGGCCGGAGAGUGUCUCCAUGGCUCACAUGUAAUACCCAGAGGAAAUAAUUUGGACAGCAGGCAAGCCUUCAAGACUCUGAGGAGCCCUGGGCUGCAGAGCUAUUGUGCUGGUUCAGGCCAGAGCUGCAGACUAGUGGAUCAGAAAUGGGAUGAGAAAAAAAACCUGGAAGGUUCUGCAGUGAGCUCUGCCCUAGGUCCCCGGCUUGGCGUUGAGAGGCAUGGACAACAGGA